GACGAACGCUGGCGGCGUGCCUAACACAUGCAAGUCGAACGGAGAAAUUCAGCAAUGGAUUUCUUAGUGGCGAACGGGUGAGUAACGCGUAGACAACCUGCCUCUAAGAUGGGGACAACACUGCGAAAGUGGUGCUAAUACCGAAUGUGUCGCCCGAGCCGCAUGGCUCGGGCGGAAAAGGUGGCCUCUUCAUAUGCUACCGCUUAGAGAUGGGGCUGCGUCUGAUUAGCUAGUUGGUGAGGUAAUGGCUCACCAAGGCGACGAUCAGUAGCCGGUCUGAGAGGAUGAACGGCCACACUGGGACUGAGACACGGCCCAGACUCCUACGGGAGGCAGCAGUGGGGAAUCUUCCGCAAUGGACGAAAGUCUGACGGAGCAACGCCGCGUGAGUGAAGAAGGUUUUCGGAUUGUAAAGCUCUGUCUUUUGGGACGAAUGUGCUCUUUGUAAAUAAUGAGGAGCAAUGACGGUACCGAAGGAGGAAGCCACGGCUAACUACGUGCCAGCCGCCGCAGUAA
rnacentral:rRNA from 1 species